AUCCAUAUUAAAAACCAUUUUUUUAAUGUUUGUCCUCACUUGACACUCACUAUAAAUAUAAAGAUGGUUGUUGUGUCAGUUCUUAUUUUUUCCAGUCUUAAGACUAGUCACAUCAGUCCUUGAGACCGGUUCUUAAGACUGUUGUUCCUUCAGACUAUCAGUACUAGAACUGAUUAUAAAAAAACAACAAAAAACAGUAACAAACUUGAGUGAGGUCAUCAAGGAACAAAGUUUAUAAUUUUUAAGGACUGAACGGGACAGGACUGAGUGUAAAAUGGGCGGAACUGCAGUUUUCAGACCUAAAUAAGGAUUGACACAACAUUAAGUAUAAAUAUGCAAAUUGGUUCAUAAAUAUGGAAUCUAUGAGAUUUUACAAAAAGGCAUGAUUAUGGAUCCAGCUGGAUGUAAAGGGAAUGAUAAUUGCUUACCUCCACGGAUUCAAAGGCAGUACUAUGAUAAUACUCGGAGUAAAAUGGUGCAUCCUUGUCUAGUGGAUCCCGUUUCCUGUUUCAAAAGACGUCGUCGCAUCCAAAAGGAGAGGAAAUAAAUCCAUUUGUCCACCCACCAUAGCUGAUCCAAAUAACACCAAUUUCUUACUUUCAAAUGAACCAGGAAAAGUACAUACACACAACUCAAAGAGAAAUAAAUCCAAUGUCCAAAUUCCGUAGAUGGCUUGCUCCCCCAAAAUUUAAGAAACCCGGAUAAAAACUAAACUAUUAUUUACGAAUACAGUUACAUAUAUUAUAUUAAUCAUAAUGAAUCUUUGUAAUGAAUUAAAUAUAUCAAAAUCA
rnacentral:misc_RNA from 1 species